rnacentral:lncRNA from 1 species
UGUGAUGCUCUGAGUUCAAGAGUGUUUCCCUUGAAAGCUUGCUGUCCUAUGUGUUAUGCUUUAUGCCUUAACUCCGUGUAGUUGGGUCCCUAGCUCCUUGUUAUUUAAUAUAGAUGUCUUUCAGAAAAGAAAUUAAUAGAAAAGUAUACCCAUAUGAUCAAGGAACCUUCCAUGUUACGUAUCCUCCACUAUAUCCAUAUACUUUCAAGUAUUCUUUUCCUAAUGUGGAGUAUUGAUCAGAGAUUCCUUCUUAGCAAUCUUAAGGGAAGGAAAAAGGAUAGGAAGAAAUUGUCAAUUUUAGAGUUAAAGACCUCAUGUUGGUGAGUUUAAUUUAGGUGAAAAUGAGUAUAAGUUGAGUUUGUAUUUUUCCUCUUUUUGUUUCUAAUAAUCUUUUAUAUGCUUCAAAUUAACUUACGACCAAGAUUUUCUUAGUUUUAACUUUUUAAUGGUAGGUAUACAUUAAUUUUAUUCUUCUUUUACUUAAUUUGAUGAUGUAUUUUUUAAAAUUCUAAUUGAUCAUCGAUUAAAUUCAACAUAGCUAUUACUGUAGUUUUAGAAAAAACAAUAGCUUAAAAUUUCACAAACUAUAAAUUUGACUACACUUACUCAGGUUUGCAAGAUAUGUUUGCAAUAAUGACCAAGAAUUCAAAUUUAGCAACAAGCUUAUACAGUGGCUAAAAAUACAAUUUCAUAGACAAACUAAUUGCAAUAUCACUAUAUUAAACAAAUAGGUACAUACAAUGAUGAGCUUUAUAUAAUUAACUUAAUCAUAGAAUCACACUAAUAUUUAAACGUUAGAUUUUACUAGAGCACCGUCAGUUUGUGACUAAAACCAUUUACCAAGUGGCUAUACCACGUGUAUAUAGUGAUGCGCCUAAUUUACACAUUGUUAAUAUUUUUGGAUUUGUGAAAAUGAACAUAGAUCAUUAAUUAAGAUAGUUCUAAUAGUUGAUCAAAUCUAUAUAUAUAUAUUUUGGAUUUGUAUAUUUUUCAAAAUUGCAAUAAUGAUGGUUUUUCAGGGUAUGUUGGUCCUUUUAAGUUGUAUAUAGUUAGAGAAACUUGUAUCAAAUGAUAAAAACAUUUAAAAAAACAAUUUAUGACAUCAUUUUUUUUAUAUUACGAAUAUGGUAAAAUUAGUGAUAUCAGACAGCUAUCAAACGGUAAUCAUAAGGCUAUCAAAUGAUCAUCAUUUUUAAAUUUGCUACUUUUACAAAUUUAGAAAAUUUCAUGACAUGAACUUUAUUAUCGUAAUUUCUCUUGCUAUUUUUGCAAAAGUCCUUACUUUCCCGCUACAAGUUUGAUUGCAUUAGUUUAUAUUUUUUGUUGAGCUUGCUACCAUGCUUAAGCUAUAUAUAUAUAUAACAUAUUAAAGUUUAAAUAAGUUUUCCCUAACACACCAUAUAACACAUCCACUAUGUUAGUUUGCCAUCUUUAUAUGCUAUUUACAUCUUUUUAUCUCAGAGUUUAGAAGAAGUGUGGUGUAUAAAUUCUUUAACUCUAGAGAGGCACUUCUAUUAUGUAUUCUGAAUUAUAUUUCUAAUACAUUGGUUCUUCUUCAAUUCUAUGAAUGUAGCUAACACACUGUUAGUGAACCAUGUAAAUCUAUGCGUUAAUUUUUAUUAUUAUUUUAUGUUUUUUUGUUUUCUUUAUAAUUCAUUGAUUUUCUUAACUAUUUGAAUUUGUAAUUCUAUUUUUGAGUUGGACAUAUUUGAAUGAACAAUUUAAAUCAUCGUUCUCUAAAUCACGAGAGCAUAGGUCUAAACUAGUGAAAAUAAUUAUGCUUAACUAGGUUAACAUUGAUACUGAGUUUUGUUGGACUCUUUAUAUCUUUGAACAAAUCUAAUUAAGCUACACAAUUAAACGUGCAACAAACACCCAAACUAAUUAUUCAAAAAAAAAUCCAACAUUUGACGAUUGAUUGUCACAACCAACUUUCGAACCCACUUAUGCAACAAAACUGAUCUAAUGGCUAACUCUAACAAAGACCACCUCCAACUCUCAAUCUUGGUGAAAUGACCACCUCUUGAUUAACUUCAACGACUACUUCUGGCAGCCAACUUCAAUGAUUGUCUCUAAUGUGUGACAUCCAACAACAACUUUAUUGAUCACUCCAGCAACCAGAGUUCAUUGUAGUUCAUAGUCUUCUUCUAUAAUAAAAGCACUUUGAUUAUAUCAAAACAAACAAACUUAAAUGUGAAAACGCUUCUUUUGGAGAAUAUAUAUGUGUAUAUAUAACAAAUGAAUGCUUUUUUAGAUAAUUUUUAUAAAGGCAUUGAAAUAAAAAUGAAAAAAAAAAAUUGCCUAAUCAAAUCCAAAUGUCCUCUAAUGCAACUUGUUUGCAAGAGUCUCUUCAAAAAUUUUAUGGGAAAAAAAUGUCAUUCAUAAAAUUAAACCAAAGGCUAAAAAACUAUUUCAAGGGUUCUUCUAUAACAAUUUAUAUAUUUUAAUUCAAUUGAUAUAAUAUAUAGUUUAUUAUAGUAUAUUCAAGCUUUUCUUCAAUAAACAUUGUUUGAUGAACCAUUUUUUUUAAUAAUCGUUUAUUUACGUUUGACGUGUCACUGUUAGAUAUACAUUUGUGUUUUAUAUGCAUGGAGUUAGAGAUGUUGGUUGCCUUUUCAUCUGAUCUUACGUAUUUGGUGCAUAUCAACCUUGUUUAAUUUUCACCAUUUCCAUACCCAUCUCUUACCUAAAAGAAACCUUGAAAUUUUUAAGUAUAUAUAUAUUACUGAGCUUUAGUUAUAUAGUAUUUUCAAUUUAGUCUCUGUAGAUUUUCUUUUCUUUUUUUUUUUGUUUGCCAUACACACACACUAUUUUACCAUCCUAUUCGAAUAAUAGGGCAUGGGGAUGGGCAUGAAUGGAAACUAAAAUAUGUAGAGUUUUUGUUGGAACAGCUACGCUUAAAUGAAAAUUUCAGCACUGACAGAAACUUUGAAUCUGCAGAUCAAGAACUGAGCAAUAGAACAGACGGACAGCUGCAAAGAAAAAGUGAGGACAAAACGUGCUAAAAGGACUUGUAUUGGGUUGUGAGAGCAACUUUCACUCUAACAAGCCUUUAAAAUAAGUAAGGAUGAUGUUGAUA